CGAAUGGAUACAUUUGGAUUGCAUGAUAAUUUUAUCAUGUUGGAUAGUGGAUACGCCAUCGUCAUGGUUAAAUUAAUAAAAUAGAGUGAUGUGUGCAUGUAAAUAUCUUUCAUUAAUUAUUAAUAUCUAUGUUGCGCUCAAACGCCUCAAGCCAGUCAAACACUCAAGUUCAUGGUAAAAACUAACUAAAACGUCUAAACCCCCUAGAUAUUCGACCACGACUUCACAUCUUCUGUAUCUUCUCUACAUCGUGCUUCUACUUACAUUGAACAAGAACAAGUAACAACACAUAUUAUUCCAUGUAUAAAUGUUAGAAGUUAACAUAUUAUGUAGGAGCAUCAUGAAGACACAUCAUGAUAUUAUCUUAGUUGGUGGUGAGCAUAGAACAUGCUCUAUGAUGUAUUGGUGUGACUGUGUCGUUUGAGAGCACAGACUCUAAAGAUGUUUUUCGUGGAAAUUAAAAAAAAUCGAUUUUCUCCGUGGAAAAAGAAUAGUGAUAGUUAUAUCAUCAUCUACCAUUCAUCUUUUACCAAAAUAAUAUAGUUCUGGGCUAAGAGAAAUAAAUGUUAUACAAUAUAUAUUAUUAUUGUGUUAUACGAGCAAAGAGUUUGUUUUUAGCUUCCUUACUAAUUUCAAAUUUGAUUACACAAUUCAAAAUCAUAAUGGUUUAAAAAUGUUGUAUUAGUGAUUCUGCUAAGACAGACUAUGUAAAAUUUCACAGGUCAACAUUUUUUUUUCAUAAUAUACUUAAAAUCAUUUCAAAUAUUUUAURUACAUUUUCUUAAAUGUUUUUACAAAUUUCCUUCAAACAUUAAUCUUAGGAAAAAAUGGAUUAAUAAAAUAAAAAAGAUGUUCUUAUUGUGAUAACAGAGUAUACUAAGCUCUGUAGCAAACAUUUUAUAAACAAUUUGGAUGAUUUGGAAAUAAUAUAUUAAGCCUGAUUUUGUACCAGCUAGGUUCUUUUAUUCAAGAAAAUCAUAACUUACAGAAAGUUUAUCAGAUAAACUUAUUUCUAAGUUUCUAAMAAUCUAGAAAAUCUUAUUUUGGAAGAAGAAACAGUUAAUGAAGUGUAGAAGACGAUAGAAAUUGAUUCUGUAGAUUCAAUAAAUGAUAAAGAUGAUACAGAAAUUACUACUCUGCCAGCAAAUGAAAAUACGGAUCAUCUUUAUUGUCAAAAAACAUAAACUACUGGGACUUUUCUGAGGAAGAAUUAAAGAUACUUAGAACAUGGAAAAUGGUUUGGAGAAAUCAGCAACAAAUACUCAAAAAUAAAAAUCAUUUAAUAAGAUUCUUACAUCAAAAUAAUUGUAGCCUAAUCUAAACUAAAUAAUCUUAAUUCUCAGAUUCAGUGGUUCUCAGUGCUCUAACUCUAAGGAGGGUUGAGGAUAACUGUGAAGCACAKAACCUAAUUUGGGCAGUGAUUGUGUUUUGGUCAAAAGACAGGCAGCGAGCAUUCACACAAAAACAUGUACAUAGUGCAAAGUGCAAUCUAAAUAUAAUAUGUCAUAUACUUAAUGAUUCAUAUAAUAAUUAUCAGUCAGUAGUUGGUACUAUGUAAAGAAAUGCACAAUAACUUAUUUUUAUUUUUUUUGGUGAUUGUGAAUGCUCAUUAUAUUUUUUAAUACUUAUUAUCUUAACCAACUUUUUAGUACACCAUUUGAUUCAAUCCAAGUGUAUUAUAUUGGUUAUUGUUUAUGUUGUUAUUAUUUUCAAUUUCAUAAAAUAAUAUUCAGUGUUUAAAAUGUAAAAUUUUCAAUAAUUUUCUACACCAUAAAAUAUUAAAUGUUAUCACAGAAUAUUAAAUUCCCCAAGAAUAGGUUAGGUGCUUAAAGAAAAUCCAACCUAAUGUAAAAAAAAACUAGCUAAAAAACAUCAAGUUGAACCAUCUCACUGUAGUUAAUUUUUUUAAAUUAAACUAAAAUUUAUUGUUAUUAACAGAUAAAGUUAUAAGUUUUUUCAUAAUAUGCAGGUWUAUUUAAAUAAUUUACUUAUGCUAUAAAUUAAAAUUAACUAUUGAAUUCUAACAUACGUGGGCUUUAAAAAAUUGAUUGCUAUUCARGGGGGUAUUAACAUAAUUUGAGAAACACUGCUCUAAUUGAUGAUUUACUAAAGGAAAGGAUUGUAAAUCAUUCCUGAACUGACGAAUAGAAAUAUAAUAUUUUGAGGAAUCUAAGGAGAUACUGAGUUCAUUACAAUCAUUAAAAUUUUACCCAAGAUUAAAGUAUCUACUAUCUAGUGAAUUAUAAAUACAAGCACUAGUGUAUAAAUUAUWACAAAAACUAUAUACAAAUAAUAAUGUACUUAUCAGUUUUCGUAAGUCACAACUACCUGUAAAAUUUUCAUACACAAACAAUUUAUUGUAAUAAUGUCAAACACCUCAUGCCGAGUGCAAAAAGAAAAAUUUUAAUUUAGUAGUUUAAUUAAAAGUAAAAGUAAUGGAUCAAUCAUUGGCUACUAAAUUGUGUAUUCAUACCUCACUAUCGAUUCAUUGAUUCAUUAUGUAAAGUAAA